CGGCUUUUUUCGAAAAAUAUAUUUAUAAAACUGAUCUUGAAAGUUGAAAAAAUACUUCUGAAAAAAUAUAACAUGAUAUUUAAAGCAAAAGAUGCUGGAGUCAAUCGAAAAAGGAAACCUUUGACUUUGUAUUAUUGUCGUAGUUUGUAUGGCCGAAACAAACAACCAACAAGGCUACAAAACGUCUAUACAACACCAAAAUCGUAAGAAAUAUGAAACAAUUGUUGAAGAAAUAAGAUUACAACUCACUCAGGUAAUGUAGCCUUCAUUUUUUAAACUUGUAAGCUGCUUGCAGAUUGUUAUCGAGCCACAGCCAUAGUUCAUAUUUUUCCGUACGAAUCAAUAACAUUUGACGUUCUCUUGUGAUUUUUGACUGUUAUUUUCUUUCAUAUUUAUGUCAAAUUCGAAAAAUUAUACUUCCAUUCCAUAGUUGUCUUGAUUCUUCACAGAAUAAACCUUUAUAUUGACG